GACGAACGCUGGCGGCGUGCUUAACACAUGCAAGUCGAACGAAGUGGCGAACGGGUGAGUAACGCGUAAUCAACCUGCCCUUCAGAGGGGGCCAACAGUUGGAAACGACUGCUAAUACCGCAUACUGAAGGUGGGGAUUGCGUCUGAUUAGCUAGUUGGAGGGGUAACGGCCCACCAAGGCGAUGAUCAGUAGCCGGUGUGGGAGGAUGAACGGCCACAUUGGUACUGAGGCACCGCCCAGACUCCCACGGGAGGCAGCAGUGGGGAAUCUUCCGCAAUGGGCGAAAGUCUGACGGCGCAACGCCGCGUGAGUGAUGACGGCCUUCGGGUUGUAAAGCUCUGUUAAUCGGGACGCGGUACCGGAAUAGAAAGCAACGGCUAACUACGUGCCAGCAGCCGCGGUAAUUC
rnacentral:rRNA from 1 species